GGAGACAGCCCUUACCCUGAUGAUCUUACAAUGUAAAGAGUCAGGACAGACUAAGGAAGUAUUAUUAUCCCCAUUUGACAGAUGGGGAACUGAGGAAGUUGCCCAAGUUCAGACAGGCAAUCAGUGCAGAGCCAAGACUUGAAUGCAGGUUUCCAGUCCUGUGCCUUAAACAAUAGACCAUCCUUCCGCGUCAAUCCAAGCUCAUUUCAUAGUGCCAUGUGGUCCCCAAGAAAGCCUUCGGCAUUUGUUACCAUUUCAAAUACAAAGAUCUAGUGCAGGGCUUUGUUUUUAUCCAGGCAGCGGCGUCCAUCUAGCCCAAGGGGUGAGGCAUUAUAUUGCUUCAUGCUCAUUAGACAGCGCCCAGUUGUGAACGUGUGAGGAGGUGGAGGAUCAGAUAAAGCCUGGAAACGUGCCAUAUGUGGGACACGCUCAGGAAGCCCCUGGGAUCACUGGAAUUAAGCUUUAACAUAUUCUGAGCAAAUAUUGUCCUAGCCUGGUUCUGAGAAUUCUCUGUGUGCCUUUUCUUGUGGAAUCAGAGGCAUGGAGCGGGCACCCAGCCAGGUGCUCUGGCUCAAUACGCUGGGGCUUGGCAGCAGGCUCUUUUCAAGGAUUUGGACCUAUGGCUUUAGCACCCAGUAUCCUCUUCUGAAUUGGUCUCCAAAUGUAAUCCAUUCAUUUAAUAACAACAUGGCCUCUUCACAAGCUGCUGCCACUGCAAGGAAGACCUUGAAAGCCACGUUCCUGAAAAACAACACUUCUCAUAGGUGUUCCAGAUGGGAGCUGUUUGAAUAAGAACCACCACCUUCUCCCUGAAAAAGCUGUUUGUGUCUCUCUGCAGCUAUAGGCAAGCAGCCUGUUAAAGCAGCACCUGAAGGAUCCUCUGAGUGGCACAUCCUCCCUCUCUAAGAUCUAUUAUAUGGCUUGUGGAUAGGUUUGUUCUCAGGACAGAGGAGAAUUCCUUUGGGAAGUCUAAAUGAAAUCUGAUGUCAUGUCUGAAGCCUGGAAUUUAAAGCAAUCACCGUUUUGGCCAAGUCUUUGCCCACUUAUAGCACAAACAAGGUUGGUUUGUACAUGCUCAGAUGUGGUCUGCACAUAUUCCAUUAUGAGUACUAGUAUCUGAAGUGUGUUUGAGCAUAUUGGGUUGAGAAAUCCAGAAAGUGAAUAAUGUUUGACUCCCUUAGCCUUUUCAAGCUCUGUGAACUGAUCCUAGAAAAGAUGAGAAUCCCUGUCAGGCACCUGAGACCACUGGAACAAUCACAAGUACCUAGCGGAGAUUGUAAUCUAGUCCCGGCAGUCAAAAACAAAGUGCCAACACAGAAGCCUAGAGAAGCUAUUCCCUCGAUUUCUGCUUUAUGCUCAGUUGCUUGUCAGUCUCCUGGAAGGAUUGUAACAUGCUGCUAACAGCACUGGCUGCAUCAGUGAAAAAUUCAAUGUACUACGGAGAGGGUCAUUGGGGUAUUGCUGACACUAGGGCCUGCGUU